CAAUAGCGUAUAUUAAAGUUGUUGCAGUUAGAACGCUCGUAGUCGGAUUUCGGGGCGAGCCUUCCGGUCUGCCGAUGGGUAUGCACUGGUAGGGUCGUCCUUCCUUCCGGAGACCGUUCCUACUCUUAACUGAGCGGGGUCGGGAGACGGAAUUUUUACUUUGAAAAAAUCAGAGUGUUUCAAGCAGGCAGCUCGCUCUUGCAUGGAUUAGCAUGGGAUAAUGAAAUAGGACUUUGGUGCUAUUUUGUUGGUUUCGAACACCGAAGUAAUGAUGAGAAGGGACAGUCAGGGGCACUCGUAUUCCGCCGAGAGAGGUGAAAUUCUCAGACCAGCGGAAGACGAACCACUGCGAAAGCAUUUGCCAGGGAUGUUUUCACUGA
rnacentral:rRNA from 1 species